rnacentral:rRNA from 1 species
GGGUUGUGAGGUUAAGCGACUAAGCGUACACGGUGGAUGCCCUGGCAGUCAGAGGCGAUGAAGGACGUGCUAAUCUGCGAUAAGCGUCGGUAAGGUGAUAUGAACCGUUAUAACCGGCGAUUUCCGAAUGGGGAAACCCAGUGUGUUUCGACACACUAUCAUUAACUGAAUCCAUAGGUUAAUGAGGCGAACCGGGGGAACUGAAACAUCUAAGUACCCCGAGGAAAAGAAAUCAACCGAGAUUCCCCCAGUAGCGGCGAGCGAACGGGGAGGAGCCCAGAGCCUGAAUCAGUGUGUGUG